rnacentral:rRNA from 1 species
UACGUAGGGUGCGAGCGUUGCCCGGAUUUAUUGGGCGUAAAGGGCGCGUAGGCGGCCUUCUAAGUCGAACGUGAAAUCCCCGGGCUCAACCCGGGAACUGCGUCCGAUACUGGAAGGCUUGAAUCCGGGAGAGGGAUGCGGAAUUCCAGGUGUAGCGGUGAAAUGCGUAGAUAUCUGGAGGAACACCGGUGGCGAAGGCGGCAUCCUGGACCGGCAUUGACGCUGAGGCGCGAAAGCCAGGGGAGCAAAGCGGG